AGAAUCAACGCUGGCGGCGUGCCUAACACAUGCAAGUCGAACGAGAAAGUGGUAGCAAUACCAUGAGUAAAGUGGCGCACGGGUGAGUAACACGUGACUAACCUACCCUUGAGUGGGGGAUAACUGAGGGAAACCUUAGCUAAUACCGCAUAAUACCCACGGGUCAAAGGAGCAAUUCGCUCGAGGAGGGGGUCGCGGCCGAUUAGUUAGUUGGCAGGGUAAUGGCCUACAAGACGAUGAUCGGUA
rnacentral:rRNA from 1 species